rnacentral:rRNA from 1 species
GUGGGGAAUAUUGGACAAUGGGCGAAAGCCUGAUCCAGCCAUGCCGCGUGUGUGAAGAAGGUCUUCGGAUUGUAAAGCACUUUAAGUUGGGAGGAAGGGCAGUAAGUUAAUACCUUGCUGUUUUGACGUUACCGACAGAAUAAGCACCGGCUAACUUCGUGCUAGCAGCCGCGGUAAUACGAAGGGUGCAAGCGUUAAUCGGAAUUACUGGGCGUAAAGCGCGCGUAGGUGGUUUUGUAAGUUGGAGGUGAAAUCCCCGGGCUCAACCUGGGAACUGCCUCCAAAACUGCAUGACUAGAGUACGGUAGAGGGUAGUGGAAUUUCCUGUGUAGCGGUGAAAUGCGUAGAUAUAGGAAGGAACACCAGUGGCGAAGGCGACUACCUGGACUGAUACUGACACUGAGGUGCGAAAGCGUGGGGAGCAAACAGGAUUAGAAACCCUUGUAGUCC